CCCAAACCGCUUUCUCUCCCUUGCCAAUCGCAAAAUUACGAACUUGGUAGCUGGCAACUAUGUAAGCCUAGCGCCGCCAUGUUUAAAACGCAAUCCCGUGAUCUUUCGUCCCGCCCGCCAUGUUUAAAUUUGCUGCGUGUCUUCUUGGGAAGACGAGACGUGCACGUCCGGCGUAGAGUGCAGUUGACACAAGCGAUUUACUCACACAUGUCACAUCAGAGUCAGCAAUUGGGCUUGCCCACAGCGCUCAAUAAAAUUUGCCUUCAUUCCUGUGAUGGUGGCAAGAUUCCAAAUGACAUUUGCAAUGAAACUCUGAAAUCCAGAAAAGCCUCAUAAGAAACAAUUGCUGUGAGACUGCAACAGCAUCUGCCAGACACAGACUGCCAGUUAGAGAGAGGCUACAUCGCUUUGGGGUUCCCCGGUGGAACUCCUGUGUGAUGUGUGGCACAGUCGAGACACAUUGCCAUGCCCUUUUUGACUGCAUUAACGUUGCAGCUAUGUGGAGGUUGGUGGCCACGCUUUAUCGCCUCCCUGCGGUAGCAUACAGUACAGUACAGUACAGGUGCUUAUAACCUCAUCCCUGUGCAAGAAUGGAAGCUGCCCGCUUUCAUGCUGCUAGUGGCAGAGAUCACCUACCAACACUGGACAGCCGAGACGCACAGCGUGUACGGUCGCAGCCAGUGACGCUUGGAAGAGUUCUUGGCUUGCCGAAUCGCGUUUAGGGCGAGUCAGAAUUUACAACCCUCGGUUACGAACAAUUUAGGAGGUGUCGGAAAAGCCACUGGAAUGCGUUCGUGAUUGCCAAUGGCAAAAUCAUCUUCAAGUUUUGAAAAAAAAAAACAGGAUCAAAAGACUGGGUUUGUGGGGACCCUCCCGCAGUGAGCUCCCUCCAACUACUGUGUGAAUGUAUUAUGCGACCGUGGUUACAGUGAUAAAUAAUCUCAUACAUAUUCAGCA